UUCUGGGCCCUGCUCACUGUCUGUCAGCAGAGCUGUCCACGAUCCAGGUACUGAGGUCCAAGAUUUGUGUGUGUGCUCGCGCUGCCCAAAUAAUGACACGGAGUUGGAUAAGCAGUCCCCAGGAUCAGCCCACCAGAGUGUGACAGUCUUUUCACCCAGAAAAGGGAAGCGGUUUGCCUAUGGUUAACGAGGAAGUUAUUGGCUGAGCUGGAAUGGAAGUGCAGUCUUUCCUGGGCCACUGACUUUACUGAAUGACCUUGCAUGGGUCCACUGACUUCAUGAAGCUCUCGAUGAGGAGAUGGAAAGCUCUUGGACCAGAGGCCAUAAUGAGAACCUGGCAGCAGGUCACCUAAAUCUCUUGACUCCAGCCUACUUAGCAGCAGAUAUUCCAAAACCAGAUUUGGGGUUAAGAGAACAAGAGAGACGACAAAUGGAAUCUCUCUUCUUACUGGGUGGUCAGUUCCUGCCUCCUGAGCAGAGCAGAAGUUAUUCUUCAGUGUCUAAAGGAAAGAGAGAAUCAUAAGAUAAUAAAAUGUCAAUCUGGAAAGGACCUCA
rnacentral:lncRNA from 1 species